UACGUAGGAGACGAGCGUUGUCCGGAGUUACUGGGCGUAAAGGGUGCGCAGGUGGCCGCGCGCGUGGGGAGUGAAAUCGCCUGGCUUAACUGGGCGGGGGCUUUCCAGACGGCGUGGCUUGAGCCACAGAGGGGGGCGUGGAAUUCCGGGUGGAGCGGUGAAAUGCGUAGAGAUCCGGAAGAACACCGGUGGCGAAGGCGGUCUGCUGGGCCAAGACUGACGCUGAGGCGCGACAGCGUGGGGAGCAAACAGG
rnacentral:rRNA from 1 species